UCGUAACAAGGUUUCCGUAGGUGAACCUGCGGAAGGAUCAUUACCGAGUGCGGGUCUUUAUGGCCCAACCUCCCACCCGUGACUAUUGUACCUUGUUGCUUCGGCGGGCCCGCCAGCGUUGCUGGCCGCCGGGGGGCGACUCGCCCCCGGGCCCGUGCCCGCCGGAGACCCCAACAUGAACCCUGUUCUGAAAGCUUGCAGUCUGAGUGUGAUUCUUUGCAAUCAGUUAAAACUUUCAACAAUGGAUCUCUUGGUUCCGGCAUCGAUGAAGAACGCAGCGAAAUGCGAUAACUAAUGUGAAUUGCAGAAUUCAGUGAAUCAUCGAGUCUUUGAACGCACAUUGCGCCCCCUGGUAUUCCGGGGGGCAUGCCUGUCCGAGCGUCAUUGCUGCCCUCAAGCCCGGCUUGUGUGUUGGGCCCUCGUCCCCCGGCUCCCGGGGGACGGGCCCGAAAGGCAGCGGCGGCACCGCGUCCGGUCCUCGAGCGUAUGGGGCUUCGUCUUCCGCUCCGUAGGCCCGGCCGGCGCCCGCCGACGCAUUUAUUUGCAACUUGUUUUUUUCCAGGUUGACCUCGGAUCAGGUAGGGAUACCCGCUGAACUUAAGCAUAUC
rnacentral:misc_RNA from 1 species